GCUCGUUUCAUCUCCCCUUGGAAGAGAAAUCUUGCAAACGACGAAACCAUGUUUCCAGGAUUGUUCAUGCGUAAACCUGACAAAGCAGCUGCUCUCAAGCAGCUGAAGACUCACGUCGCCCUUUUCGGAGCUUGGGUCGCCGUAAUUCGGGUCACCCCAUAUAUCCUCCACUAUUUUUCCGAUCAGAAAGAAGAACUCCUCCUCGAGCUCUAAACCCCUAUCAUUUUUUGUACUUCUUUCUACUCAGGACUUUGUUCAACGGCAAAGGAUGUGUGGCAGGCGCACAUCGUGAGUUCGAAUCUUGGGUGGUGAACCAAGUCUGGUAUCUAAAUGGAGAAGAGUAGAGGGGCCUAGCCCCAUUAUCUACCGAGUGUCGAACCGUGGCACCAAUGGCCCUUGGUUUCUCUAGAGGAAGGAAUGUUUGGAAGAAAAGGAGCUAGUUUUCUCUACACAUCUGUUGACCCUCUUCUUAGUCAUUUCUGUCUCUACAUUUCAUUUUCAUUUGACGAUAUGAUUCUGAAAUUUGUCAGGUUGGCAUAUAAUUGGGAAUUGUAUGGUUGUACCCUAGUUAUUUGAGAUAAAUUAUGCUGCGGAAACUCUCUUUUGGUUUAUCGACACCAGAGUCAUGUGUGAAUUUGAUGGCUUUUCCACCUAGAUUAGAUACCCAUUCCCAGCAAUCCUUGCACUAUGUUACUGAAUGCAUAAAUGAUCCCAUAAGUGAGAUUU